CAGUCGCCGCGGUAAUACAGAGGAUGCAAGCGUUAUCCGGAAUGAUUGGGCGUAAAGCGAGCGCAGGCGGUUAGAUAAGUCUGAAGUUAAAGGCUGUGGCUUAACCAUAGUACGCUUUGGAAACUGUUUAACUUGAGUGCAAGAGGGGAGAGUGGAAUUCCAUGUGUAGCGGUGAAAUGCGUAGAUAUAUGGAGGAACACCGGUGGCGAAAGCGGCUCUCUGGCUUGUAACUGACGCUGAGGCUCGAAAGCGUGGGGAGCAAACAGGAUUAGAUACCCCCGUAGUCCCUGUCUCUUAUACA
rnacentral:rRNA from 1 species